UACGUAGGGUGCGAGCGUUUAAUCGGAAUUACUGGGCGUAAAGCGUGCGUAGGCGGUUCGUUAAGUUCGUUGUGAAAGCCCCGGGCUCAACCUGGGAAUGGCAAUGGAAACUGGCGGGCUGGAGUAUGGCAGAGGGGGGUGGAAUUCCGCGUGUAGCAGUGAAAUGCGUAGAGAUGCGGAGGAACACCGAUGGCGAAGGCAGCCCCCUGGGCCAAUACUGACGCUCAGGCACGAAAGCGUGGGGAGCAAACAGG
rnacentral:rRNA from 1 species